rnacentral:snRNA from 1 species
GGAUGUGAGGGUGAUCUGGCUGCAACGUCUGUCACCACACUGGUCUCCAGGGUUGAUUCGACUGAUCUGGCUGGCUAGGUGGGUUUCCCCUUCCUCCCUCACCGUUCCAUGUGCGUCCCUCCCAAAGCAUGCACUCGGUUGAAGAAGACGACCUUCCCCCAAUAGAGGAGGACCCGUCUUUGGUCAAGGGUAUACGAGUGGCUGCGCUCCCCUGCUAGAACCUCCAAACAAGCUCUCAAGGAAGUGUGGAUGGUAAAGGGAGAGUGGCAUCAAGAGGGAACCAUUGUAU